rnacentral:lncRNA from 1 species
CAACGUUCCCAAAGCAGCGGCGACCAGCGACCAGCAACCGCCCCGGUGAGACAAGGCAAGCAGCUUGGGGUUCCUGCGGCCUUCCCUGGCUAUGUCCAUGGCACGGUGUAAAGAAGCUGGUUUGAAGUUUGUCUAACACUCCACAGACUGCAUUGUUUAAAGGCAGCAAUAUGUCUCCACGUGAAGACAAGUAGCCACGAUAUUGUAGUACAGUCCAAUGAGUACAGACACCAUCCAGGAUAGACACCCAAGAAGACACAAACCUGUAUCAUGAUACCUGUCUACUAGACCUCCAAGAUGAGUGGUUGGAUAGGAGCAGUGACCACCUUAUCAUCAUUGGCCCAGAGAAAUAGAUCCUGCCCUAGACUCUAUGACAUCAAGUUCUAGGAGUACUAGAAGGCUCCAAGAAAUUCUAACAGUGAUAGGGAAGAGAUAUCUUUCCAAAUCAUUCUUCAUCUGCGAUACAAAAUACAACUUCAGAUGACACUAUUGUUGCCACAAGAUAACCUGGAGAGAAGAUGAAGG